AUCUUUGCAGUUCCCAGCACUUUUUCAGGCCAAGCACUAAACUCAUUGAAUUUCUUUACAGGCAAGAUGAACAAUUUCCACUUCUGAAUGUGAGGAAAUAAAGUUCUUGAAGCACAUGAAGGAAAUAAUAGCAAUGAUGCAGCCACAGUACACUUAAAGGUACCUGGUCUUUCAUAUAAAUAGUAUUCUUCAGUUUCUGGCUUCAGAAGUCAGAGAAGAGCUAAACAGACAUUUCAGCACUCUCUGAAAUCCAAGUGUUUUCAAACUGGAUGGGCAUCUAGAGAUCAUCCUAUCAAUGACCAUUACUCAGUAUACACAGAGAUAAGAUCAUGUGACCAUUUUCCAAACUGUACUAUAGUUAAGUGGUAGGAAAAGCAACUUUUCAGUUUGCUCAGGAAUUGUUACGUAUGAUCCCCUUUCCUGGGAAUGGCUGAAAACCUGUCAGCCUGUGGGAAGAGGUUCAGCUGUUCUAUGAUUUCAAGACAGUGCUCUCAGUCUUUGCUCAAGAGCAGUGAGCAUGCUUUCCCCAGCUGGCGCAGGAUUUGUCAGCCAUGGUGAAGAGCUCCAGCCUAUCAGAUUCCAAGUCACGGAUGGUAACUUCACCGCAAGGAAACCACAAAGCAGGUAAUGAACCUGUUCUGCAAAAAUGGUGUUGGAAUGACUUGUUAGCUAAAUGUCCUAGGAGACAAAAUUUGCUGCACAUUAGUGUUCAC